UACGGAGGGGGCUAGCGUUGUUCGGAAUUACUGGGCGUAAAGCGCACGUAGGCGGCUUUGCAAGUUAGAGGUGAAAGCCCGGGGCUCAACUCCGGAACUGCCUUUAAAACUGCAUCGCUAGAAUUGUGGAGAGGUAAGUGGAAUUCCGAGUGUAGAGGUGAAAUUCGUAGAUAUUCGGAAGAACACCAGUGGCGAAGGCGAGUCUCUGGACAUUUCCUGACGCUGAGGCACGAAAGCCAGGGGAGCAAACGGG
rnacentral:rRNA from 1 species